rnacentral:rRNA from 1 species
UAAAAAUAGGAUUAUUUAGUUUAUUAUUUUGAAAUUAUUCUUUAUUUGAGUAUUAAAGGUGAAAAAAGAGGGUUUAUGAUAGUUUAUUAGUAAAGUGAUUUAAUUUUGAAAUAUUAAAAAUUUGUUUUAAAGAAGAAUUAAUUUUUUGUACCUUGUGUAUCAGGGUUGAUUAAUUUUAAGUUAAUUAUUUAAUUUUCUCGAAUUAGAAAGAGUAAAUAGGUUAUUUAUUUAAUUGUAAAAUAAAUUUUUUUAAUAAUCUAUUCGAAAUGAAACGUUAGUCGUUUUCUAAAAUAUCUAGUUUUUUAAGAAAAGAAUUCAAUUCUAUUAUUUGCUUUUAUUUAAAUUUAUUUAGUUAAAUUUAAAUUAGUGAAUAUUAAAUACUUAAUGGGAUGAGCUUUUAAGUAUAUUACUAAAAAUUUUGGGUUUUAUAAUAAUUUGUACAAUUAAGAUUGUUGAUCAACAGAAUAACUUUAUAGUUAAUUAUUUGAACAUAUGAUUUUUAUUGUUUUUAGAUUUUUUAUUGAAAUAUAAUUAUUAAUUAUUAAUAAUUGGAAAUUAUGAUUAAAUUAGUAAAAUUUAAAUUGUUAAAGUGAUUAAUUUUUGAAAGGUUUUUUAAAGGAACUCGGCAAAAUUGCUUUUCGCCUGUUUAUUAAAAACAUGUCUUUUUGAUUAUAAUUUAAGGUCUAAUCUGCUCAAUGAGGAUUUAAAUUGCCGCGGUAUUUUGACCGUGCAAAGGUAGCAUAAUAAUUAGUUUUUUUAUUGAAAGCUGGAAUGAAUGAUUGGACGAGGGAGCAGCUGUCUCUGGAAAAUUUUAUUUUUAAUUUAACUUUUGAGUAAAAAGGCUCAAAUUUAUUUCAAAGACGAGAAGACCCUAUAGAGUUUGAUAUUUUUAUUUAAUAAGAUGUUUUUGGGCUUAAAAUUUUCUUAUUAGAUUAAUUAUUUAGUUGGGGUGACUUAAAGAUUAAAUUAACUCUUUAAAGUUUUAAUCAUUGAUAUGUGAAUUGUAAAUCUAGUUUUUCUAAAUAUAAGAUAAAUUACCUUAGGGAUAACAGCGUAAUUUUUUUUUAGAGUUCUUAUUGUAAAAAAAGUUUGCGACCUCGAUGUUGGAUUAAAAUUAAUUUUUGGUGCAGAAGCUAAAAAUAUAGGUCUGUUCGACCUUUAAAUUUUUACAUGAUCUGAGUUUAAACCGGUGUGAGCCAGGUUGGUUUCUAUCUUGAAUUUUUUAUGAUAUUUUAGUACGAAAGGAUUGAAUAUUAAAUAUUUUUAUUUUAAUUUUUGAAUAUUAUU